GAGUUUGAUCAUGGCUCAGAUUGAACGCUGGCGGCAGGCCUAACACAUGCAAGUCGAGCGGUAGAGAGAAGCUUGCUUCUCUUGAGAGCGGCGGACGGGUGAGUAAUGCCUAGGAAUCUGCCUGGUAGUGGGGGAUAACGCUCGGAAACGGACGCUAAUACCGCAUACGUCCUACGGGAGAAAGCAGGGGACCUUCGGGCCUUGCGCUAUCAGAUGAGCCUAGGUCGGAUUAGCUAGUUGGUGAGGUAAUGGCUCGCCAAGGCGACGAUCCGUAACUGGUCUGAGAGGAUGAUCAGUCACACUGGAACUGAGACACGGUCCAGACUCCUACGGGAGGCAGCAGUGGGGAAUAUUGGACAAUGGGCGAAAGCCUGAUCCAGCCAUGCCGCGUGUGUGAAGAAGGUCUUCGGAUCGUAAAGCACUUUAAGUUGGGAGGAAGGGCAGUAAAUUAAUAACUUUGCUGUUUUGACGUUACCGACAGAAUAAGCACCGGCUAACUCUGUGCCAG
rnacentral:rRNA from 1 species